CCUACGGGUGGCAGCAGUGAGGAAUAUUGGUCAAUGGCCGCGAGUCUGAACCAGCCAAGCCGCGUGAGGGAAGACGGCCCUAUGGGUUGUAAACCUCUUUUGUCGGGGAGCAAAACCCGGCACGUUUCCCUGACUGCGUGUAUCCGAAGAAAAAGCAUCGGCUAACUCCUUGCCAGCAGCCGCGGUAAUACGGGGGAUUCGAGCGUUAUCCGGAUUUAUUGGGUUUAAAGGGUGCUUAGGCGGUCGUUUAAGUCAGCGGUAAAAUUGCGGGGCUCAACCCCGUCGUGCCGUUGAAACUGGCAGACUUGAGGUGGCGAGAAGUAAGCGGAAUGCGUGGUGUAGCGGUGAAAUGCAUAGAUA
rnacentral:rRNA from 1 species